AUAUACAGCCAUACCAACCUGAGAAUGCCUGAUCUUGUCUGAUCUCGGAAGCUAAGCAGGGUCAGGCCCGGUCAGUACUUGGAUGAGAGACCAGUUGGGAAUACCGGGUGCUGUGGGCU
rnacentral:rRNA from 1 species